GGUGGCUCAGUGGUAGAGAGCUUGCCUUGCAUGCAUGAGACCCUGGGUUCAAUUCCUCAGCACCA
rfam:Dipodomys ordii contig_28523, whole genome shotgun sequence.